AUUCCAGCUCCAAUAGCGUAUAUUAAAGUUGUUGUGGUUAAAAAGCUCGUAGUUGGAUCUCAACAGCCUUGAAGCGGUUAACUUUGUAGUUUUACUGCUUUAUAGGCUGUGCUUUUGCUGGAGGUUUAGGGGUGCUCUUGAUCGAGUGUCUCUGGAUGCCAGCAGGUUUACUUUGAAAAAAUUAGAGUGCUCAAAGCAGGCUAAAAUGCCUGAAUAUUCGUGCAUGGAAUAAUAGAAUAGGAUGUCGAUCCUAUUUUGUUGGUUUUCGGGACUCGACAUAAUGAUAAAUAGGGACAGUCGGGGGCAUUUGUAUUCAAACGACAGAGGUGAAAUUCUUGGACCGUUUGAAGACAAACUACUGCGAAAGCAUUUGCCAAGAAUGUUUUCAUUA
rnacentral:rRNA from 1 species